UACGUAGGGGGCAAGCGUUGUCCGGAAUCAUUGGGCGUAAAGGGAGCGUAGGCGGGCUCUUAAGUUAGGUGUUUAAUCCCGGGGCCCAACCCCGGACAGGCACCUAAAACUGGGAGUCUUGAAUAGUGGAGAGGACGGCGGAAUUGGGGGUGUAGCGGUGGAAUGCGUAGAGAUCCCCAAGAACACCAGUUGCGAAGGCGGCCGUCUGGACACAUAUUGACGCUGAGGCUCGAAAGCAUGGGGAGCAAACAGG
rnacentral:rRNA from 1 species